rnacentral:rRNA from 1 species
GAUGAACGCUGGCGGCGUGCCUAAUACAUGCAAGUCGAGCGAACAGACGAGGAGCUUGCUCCUUUGACGUUAGCGGCGGACGGGUGAGUAACACGUGGGUAACCUACCUAUAAGACUGGGAUAACUUCGGGAAACCGGAGCUAAUACCGGAUAAUAUUUCGAACCGCAUGGUUCGAUAGUGAAAGAUGGCUCUGCUAUCACUUAUAGAUGGACCUGCGCCGUAUUAGCUAGUUGGUAAGGUAACGGCUUACCAAGGCAACGAUACGUAGCCGACCUGAGAGGGUGAUCGGCCACACUGGAACUGAGACACGGUCCAGACUCCUACGGGAGGCAGCAGUAGGGAAUCGUCCGCAAUGGGCGAAAGCCUGACGGAGCAACGCCGCGUGAGUGAUGAAGGUCUUCGGAUCGUAAAACUCUGUUAUUAGGGAAGAACAAACGUGUAAGUAACUGUGCACGUCUUGACGGUACCUAAUCAGAAAGCCACGGCUAACUACGUG